GGGGUGCAAAAAAAAAAAAAAAAAAAAAGGCCACAAAGUGUUAACACGCGUGGGUUUAACGCCGCAGAACUCUGUCGUCCACGAAGCGUGAACCAGAAAUAUUGUUUCUUAUAUAUUUCGGACCCACGCGGUGUAAGCCAUAAAACAACGUUUAUACAUCCGGUGUUGUUUUGGCGCGUUGAGACACAACAAUCAUGGCGGCUGUGUUGUCACCGGCGUGUUUAUGCGUGGGGGUUUUAUUUUAAAGCAGAGUGGGGUUGAACGCCCACUUCAAACACUAACACGCACGCACAUAACCUCCACGCUGCCACCUUUACGAGCACGCCAAGUGGACGACGUAUCUUGACUCUUCGUGCCGGAAGCGGCGCGCAUCGCAAAAUGGCAACCACGAACCACGUCGUCCUGUCAAGUCACCUUCAAACACGAACAAAUUCGGCGAAGAAAAGCGGACUUCUAAGGCGGACAGACGGGGCCUCUAACUGGGCUUGGCGCAGGCACGGCGGAGACCCCUGGCGGUAGACGGCUGUAACUGCAGUUGUAACGGAGCCGCAUCUACUUAUCCGGAAACAACAACAAAUUGUCAAGACUAGGACUAUGGUGUGGAUUGUUUUCCAGAGGUGCAAAGCGACUGGAUCGCACAUGGCAUGAAGGUAAUGACAUCUUUUAAAUUUAACACUCAAAAGUACUACAAAAACAAAGGGUAUAAACAAAAAACUCGCACAAAGGCAGAACUAUGGACAUAAAACUUGCAAACUAUGGCAUGAAUAAAGAAAACUUACUUGGAACGAGAAAUGAGCAUGAAAAAGAGCAGCAUGGGUCAUCAGCAUGAAUAACAAGUGUGUAUAAAGGGUGAUGUCGCCAGGCUCACUGCCUGGCAACUGCAGGCUUAAAUAGUGAUGCGGUGAUUGAUAACAGGUGCGUGAGUCCAAAUCAAUCAGGUGCGUGACAUGAGGACAGGUGAAAACUAAUAGGUUGUCAUGUUAAAAAAAAAAGCAGGGAAUGAAAAAAACAGGAAAUGACGAAAUCCAAAAACCAAACAGAACAUAGCCAAACUAAACAUGAUCACCAGGACAUGACACAAAUGUGUCCCGUGAAAAACCGUCCGACUGGAACUCUCUUAUAACUAAAGUUCCUUGGGUGAAUAAUGUACACUCACUACACCGGUAUGUUUUAGCGCUUAAAUGGUGAGUUUACUGACCGAUAUAAGUAAGGACUUUACACCACUUUACAUUAUCAAUGGCAACAGCGGAGGAUGAAUGUCACAUAACAAGGAGAUAGAGAAAAAGAAGAAGCUUAUCGACUUGGGUGUCGUCACAAACUACAAAGGCGGACUCACGCAAUUUUUCAGGACUUGCGCAGAUCCGACAUAUAGAUCAGCAUGUACCAGAAGGUAAGAAAAGUUGCUUUUGCAUGGUAUUGUGAAAUAAAACUCCAAAUAAUAUCUCUUACCCUAUACACACACCAUAAUAAUACUCAAAUGUUGAAGCACAGUACAAUCCAAUCUAGCGGUGCGGCUUCAUAGCUUACCAAAGUCGUACUAAAACAUUCUGAUAGAUUUUUUUAAAGCACCAUGUGUUAUGUUCUAUAUUUUCAAUGGAACAUAUGAAAUGUUGGUGUUAUUUACUUGAGUCGUUUUGCAAUCAAAAUGCCGUCUACACAUAUCUCCUAUGUUUGACUGCCAUCUACUGGUCACCCUUAUUACACCAUGUACCAAAUAAAACUGCUUUGAGGUCGGUAAGCAAA